GGCCACAUCAUGCCGAAACAUCGGUUUCUGUACGAUCACCGAAGUUAAACAACGUCGAGCCUGGUUACUACCUAGAUGGGUGACCGUUUGGGAAUACCAGCUGCUGU